rnacentral:rRNA from 1 species
UACGGAGGGUGCAAGCGUUAUCCGGAUUCACUGGGUUUAAAGGGAGCGUAGGUGGGAUGGUAAGUCAGUGGUGAAAUCUCCGGGCUUAACUCGGAAACUGCCGUUGAUACUAUCAUUCUUGAAUAUUGUGGAGGUAAGCGGAAUAUGUCAUGUAGCGGUGAAAAUGCUUAGAUAUGACAUAGAAACACCAAUAGCGAAGGCAGCUUGCUACACAAAUUAUUUGACACUGAGGCUCGAAAGCGUGGGGAUCAAACAGG